CUCUCUUCUGCGCAUGCGCGCUUCUCUUCUCCAGGGCGGGAGGGAGGCGUGCUACGGGGCGCGGCGAGGGUCACAGCAUGGCGACGGCGAGCGGAGGAGGCGGCGGCGGAGGGGCGAGCGGGGCGAGUGGCUACGGGCUGGGCUUGGCCAACGAGCGCCUCCGGAUCCUGGAAGAGCUGGAGCGGGAGAUCGGGGCGGCGCUGCAGAGCGCGGGCACGGUGAUCCUGGAGCUGUCCAAGGAGAAGCCCAACGAGCGCCUGCUGGACCGCCAGGCCGCCCAGUUCGUGGCCUCCGUCCAGAAGGUCGAGUCCGAGCUCUCCGCACAGAUACGGUACCUCACACAGGUAAAGAGGCGGGGCCAUCGUCGCACGGGGGCGGGGCCAGGGCUGGGGGCGGGGCUAUGGGCUUGGAGGCGGAGCCAGGGACAGGUGGGCGGGGUCAUGGCCUAGUGGGCGGGGCUAUAUACCCAUCCAGGCCGCCCAGUUCGUGGCCUCCGUCCAGAAGGUCGAGUCCGAGCUCUCCGCACAGAUACGGUACCUCACACAGGUAAAGAGGCGGGGCCAUCGUCGCACGGGGGCGGGGCCAGGGCUGGGGGCGGGGCUAUGGGCUUGGAGGCGGAGCCAGGGACAGGUGGGCGGGGUCAUGGCCUAGUGGGCGGGGCUAUAUACCCAUCCAGGCCGCCCAGUUCGUGGCCUCCGUCCAGAAGGUCGAGUCCGAGCUCUCCGCACAGAUACGGUACCUCACACAGGUGGCCACGGGGCAGCCCCACGAGGGGUCCAGCUACUCUUCGCGCAAGGACUGCCAGAUGGCCCUCAAGCGGGUGGACUACGCGCAGGUCAAGCUGGGGGAGCUCUCAAGGACCUGCGAGCAGAUGCUGGAGCCCUAGCCCCUCCGCCCAGGGAGAAGAAGGAAAGAGGGGGGGCUCU